rnacentral:rRNA from 1 species
UACGUAGGGAGCAAGCGUUGUUCGGAUUUAUUGGGCGUAAAGAGCUCGUAGGCGGUUUGUCGCGUCUGCCGUGAAAGUCCGGGGCUCAACUCCGGAUCUGCGGUGGGUACGGGCAGACUAGAGUGAUGUAGGGGAGACUGGAAUUCCUGGUGUAGCGGUGAAAUGCGCAGAUAUCAGGAGGAACACCGAUGGCGAAGGCAGGUCUCUGGGCAUUAACUGACGCUGAGGAGCGAAAGCAUGGGGAGCGAACAGG